AGAGCCCACAAGAUACAUAUAUUACAACAACAACUCCAACGAGUCAAGAUACAAAUAUACAAUACAAAGAUCCAAAUCAUACAGAAGAUCGAAUACGUCCGAGUACGGACAAGAUACAAAUUGGACUAAGAGUCCUGAAGAUAACCAUGGCGUCCAUAACCCUGCCCAGGCCAAGCCGGAA